rnacentral:rRNA from 1 species
CGGGGCGCAGCAGCAGUGAGGAAUAUUGCACAAUGGGGGGAACCCUGAUGCAGCAACGCCGCGUGGAGGAUGACGCAUUUCGGUGUGUAAACUCCUUUUAUAUGUCAAGAAAAUGACGGUAGCAUAUGAAUAAGCACCGGCUAACUCCGUGCCAGCAGCCGCGGUAAUACGGAGGGUGCAAGCGUUACUCGGAAUCACUGGGCGUAAAGGACGCGUAGGCGGGUUGGAAAGUCAGGUGUGAAAUCCUACAGCUUAACUGUAGAACUGCACUUGAAACUUCUAAUCUAGAGUAUGGGAGGGGGAGAUGGAAUUAGUGGUGUAGGGGUAAAAUCCGUAGAUAUCACUAGGAAUACCUAAAGCGAAGGCGAUCUCCUGGAACAUUACUGACGCUAAGGCGUGAAAGCGUGGGGAGCAAACAGGAUUAGAUACCCCGGUAGUC